GUAGACGUUAGCUCAGUGGUUAGAGCACAGGCCUCUGCCUCUCGGGUCCGCGAGUUCGAGUCCCGUUGUCUACU
rfam:Nasonia vitripennis chromosome 5 unlocalized genomic scaffold Chr5_random015, whole genome shotgun sequence.